AGCACACAGACAACACUUUCUUUCUUUCUUUUUUUUAAAUUAGUGUGCUAAUUUAAGUACUUGAGGAAGAGGUAGGUCUUUAGACGUGGUUUGAAGACAUCUAGGGGAAGUUCAGUCCACCACCGAGGUGCCAGAACUGAGAAGAGUCUUGAUGUGCGCCUUCCUUGUGUCGUGAGAGAUGUUGGGACCAGUCGAGCGGUGCUAUGGGAUCGGAGGGAGCGUGGUGUGAUAAGUGCUCUGAGUUUUGUUUUCCAGGGAUUUGCAACAUCUGCUGUAAAAGCUGUAUUAAAGUCAUCAGUGUUUGCUCUGCAGUCCUUGUACGCGUGUGGAAGAUGGAAUUAUUCACGUUCUCGUGUUUUAUCCAAGUGAACAGGUUGUGUUCAUGACUACGCGUACAUGAAGUCUGUGAAAGGUAAAGAGGGGAUUACGUCUGAAAAGCAGCCAAGCGGCAAAGGACAACUUUUAACGUGAUGCUCCCACCAGCGCGCUUCACUGUGGGGAUCCCAGGCGGUUUUGGGUUUCAUCCACGAGGAUGGAGAUUUGUUCAACGAAAGACGCGUGCGUACCUGCAUCGGCAACAGCAUUUCUCAUCUCAAAGCUACUGAUGGUGCCGGAUUUGUCCGUGUCAUAGCGGGUGAAAAUGAUCUGUGGACAAAAUGUGACACGCCGUGCAUUUGUGAAGAGAUUUCUAGCUGUAUUAUGUUAUGUUUACAAGGCUUUACAGGGCUCUGACUGCAUAUUAUACGCAUUAAAACAAGCUCAGGACCGUUAGACCUACCUUCCACUGUUUGAUCUUGUUCCACAAGUGCUUGAACUCUUGCAGGUUUAAGCGUCCUGUUCCAUCAGUCUUUUAUAGUACAAGGUCAAGGUGUGAUUCUGCCUCGUUCACAAGAAUCUCACUCCAUUUUAAUCAGCCUGUCUUCUUCUAAUGAGCAUUUCUCUCAGGUUUCUGUAGGCUGAACCCAUGCAUGAAAAAGGAUACAUCCAUGAGCGCGAUCAUGCUUCUGCAGCUGUCCAAACUGAAACCUUCUGAUUUCAGCUCUUUGUCUGAUCGAGUAAGAAGACGAGAUAAGAACACGAAUCGGAAAGUGAACCGAAACUAGUCACAGAUUCAUUUAUUUAUUUAUUUUCCCCCUUGAAUUUGAUGGCUCACAUUUGCUCACUGCUUUGUUAAGGACGAUCGUCAGCUCUUUGGCGUUGAUCUGCAUAUCCUGAGAGAGAAAUCCACAUGCAUGGUAUGGCGAAGCCGACGGCGUGCAGCGUGGCUCCUGCGUAGCUCUCUCUCCUCCUGCCCUUCUGCAUGAGCGCCACCACCACGGUGCAGCCCUUUUCCCCGUACUCCGGU